UCACUGCUUGCGCAGGCAGUCUCUUUAGAGUCCCCACCAUAAUGUGCUGGCAACUAAUGACAAGGGUUGCGCUCGUUGCGGGACUUAACCCAACAUCUCACGACACGAGCUGAGGACAGCCAUGCAGCACCUGUGUUACGGCUCUCUUUCGAGCACUCCUAAAUCUCUUCAGGAUUCCGUACAUGUCAAGGGUAGGUAAGGUUUUUCGCGUUGCAUCGAAUUAAUCCACAUCAUCCACCGCUUGUGCGGGUCCCCGUCAAUUCCUUUGAGUUUUAAUCUUGCGACCGUACUCCCCAGGCGGUCUACUUCACGCGUUAGCUGCGUUACCAAGUUAAUUAAAACCCGACAACUAGUAGACAUCGUUUAGGGCGUGGACUAC
rnacentral:misc_RNA from 1 species